rnacentral:rRNA from 1 species
GACGAACGCUGGCGGCGUGCUUAACACAUGCAAGUCGAGCGGUAAGGCCCUUCGGGGUACACGAGCGGCGAACGGGUGAGUAACACGUGGGUGAUCUGCCUCGCACUCUGGGAUAAGCCUGGGAAACUGGGUCUAAUACCGGAUAUGACCACUGAUCGCAUGGUUGGUGGUGGAAAGAUUUAUCGGUGCGAGAUGGGCCCGCGGCCUAUCAGCUUGUUGGUGGGGUAAUGGCCUACCAAG